UUUGAUCCAGAACUUCCUCAGCUUGAACAUGUGUAGCCUUUUAGUGCCACGACCAUCAACUAGCAAGAGCAGCAAUGGUCUGAGAAGGACGAGAAUAAGGCAUGAAGAUUUUUUAUUUUUUUGAAUAAAAGGGGUUCCCCCCUGCUCCAUUUCAUUGCUAAUGAAGCCACAGAGAAUCAGUUAUACAGCCCAGAAAGCAACACUAAAAGAAACAACAGGUCCN
rnacentral:lncRNA from 1 species